rnacentral:lncRNA from 1 species
AGACAUGGGACCAUCAUCUGGAUUCCUAGACGUGCAACUGCAAGCUUAGAAGAAAUAAAGGAAAUAUCCCAGGAGCAAAAACAAAACACACACAUGCUCCUCUCAAGAGUCACUGGCAUCCCAGCUGAAAAGUCAGCUCUACACCUAUGGGACCUAUGGGCCUGUUUCUGAGCUCUGUUUUGUCUCUUUGGUCUGAGUGUCUAUCUGAGGCCAAUACCACAGUACCAAAUGCGAUUGCUUUAGAGGAAGUCUUGAAAUCAGAUGAGGGAGCAUAACUUUCGCAUCUCAGUCCUUCUCCAUUUCCUGAGGCUUCUUCAGGCUCUGGUGUGUGGUCCACCCUGGAGAAUGUCUCGCUCUCCUCUCGAGAGGAACGUGGCUGCGGCUCUGCGUGGACCGUUUGGCAGAGGCUCAUAUGCUGGAUCCACUGGUUGGUUCACGGGGUUCAUUCCUGUCUGUUGAUCUUCUACCUAGUGGCUCCAUCACUCAUUCAAGCCACCCGAUGUCCCUUUUGAUUAUUGUUUACACGGUUCGUCUUUUUCCACCUUUCCCCGUUGGACUCUG